AAGCAAGCAAGCAAACACAAGAAGAGAGAGAAGAGCCGAGGGAGGAUAAUAUUGUUUUUUCUUUUUCUUUUUCUUUUUCUUUCCU
rnacentral:ribozyme from 1 species